rnacentral:miRNA from 1 species
CCCCACUGCUCUGUGUUGGU